rnacentral:rRNA from 1 species
CGUGCGUUUUGAAAAACGACCCAGGGAGUGCACUUGAUUGGCGAGUCUAACCCGUGAACCGGGGAAGGCGCAGGGAAACCGAUACGGCCGCAGCACAUUCGUGCGAGGGCCACCGUGUUCAAGCGCGGGGAGUCAAUCGGGUGCGACCCGAAACCAGGCGAUCUACGCGCGAGCAAGGUGAAGCGUGGCGAAAGCCACGUGGAGGCCUGUUAGAGUUGGUGUUCUACAAUACCCUCUCGUGACUCGUGUGUAGGGGUGAAAGGCCCAUCGAGCCUGGCAACAGCUGGUUCCAACCGAAACAUGUCGAAGCAUGACCUCUCCCGAGAUAGCCCGCGGGGUAGAGCUACCGAUUGGAUGACCCGCCUCCGAGAGGAGUCGGCCAUCCUGUCGAACUCCAAACCCGCAGGCGUCGCAGACGGAGGGAGUCCGGUGCGCGGGGUAAGCCUGUGUACCGUGAGGGGAACAACCCAGAGCCGGGUUAAGGUCCCAAAGUGUAGAUUAAGUGCGAUUCGAAGGUGGUCUCAAGCCCUAAACAGCCGGGAGGUGAGCUUAGAAGCAGCUACCCGCUAAGAAAAGCGUAACAGCUUACCGGCCGAGGUUUGAGGCGCCCAAAAUGAUCGGGGCUCAAAUCUACCACCGAGACCUGGCCGCGCCCGUCACAGGGCGACCGCGUAGGUUGGCGUACUGGUCGGACGGAAGCCCGGGCGAGAGCUCGUGUGGACCGUCCAGUAACGACAAUCCUGGUCACAGUAGCAGCGAUAGUCGGGUGAGAACCUCGACGGCCUGAAGAGCAAGGGUUCCUCGGCACUGCAGAUCAGCCGAGGGUUAGCCGGUCCUAAGGUGUACCACAACUUGACUACACCGACGGGAAGCUGGUUAAUAUUCCAGCGCCAUCGUGCAGUAAACGCCGACGCCGUGUGGAACGCUGAGCCGGGCACUCGCCCGGUCGAAUCGUGGAAACUCGUGGACGCCGUCACGGCACGAAGCGAGCGAAACGCGAAACAGCGAAAGUCAGCCGUACAUAGGGCCCGUGAAAAGGCAAGCGCGAUGUCCGUACCGAGAUCCGACACAGGUGCUCUGCCAGCGCAAGGCAAGGCCUGUCGGGAGAACCGACGUUAGGGAAUUCGGCAAGUUAGUCCCGUACCUUCGGAAGAAGGGAUGCCUGCUCUCUGAGGAGCAGGUCGCAGUGACUCGGGCGCUCCGACUGUCUAGUAACAACACAGGUGACCGCAAAUCCGCAAGGACUCGUACGGUCACUGAAUCCUGCCCAGUGCGGGUAUCUGAACACCUCGUACAAGAGGACGAAGGACCCGUCAACGGCGGGGGUAACUAUGACCCUCUUAAGGUAGCGUAGUACCUUGCCGCUUCAGUAGCGGCUUGCAUGAAUGGAUAAACGAGAGCGCCACUGUCCCAACGUUGGACCCGGUGAACUGUACGUUCCAGUGCGGAGUCUGGAGACCCCCAAGGGGAAGCGAAGACCCUAUAGAGCUUUACUGCAGGCUGUCGCUGAGACGUGGUCGCCGAUGUGCAGCAUAGGUAGGAG